ACUCUUUCCGUCUAAGCAAGGAGUUUCAGUAUUUGACUGAAAACCGAAUAGGUUCACUGAAGGUGAAAAUCUCAUAGACUGAGCAGAAACUUUAAUAUUGGAUCAAAACUGAUUUUCCAGAGGACUCAGCAUAACAGUGAUGGAACUGUGCAAUGAAAUUAAAGAUCAUUAAGCUCAGAAAACAUGAGUGUUGUGCUGACAACCUCAAGAUUCCCAGUCACGCCAUCACACUAGAAGCUGCUUUCACAAUUGUCUCAGUGUGACAUCAGCAUUUCAACCUGAUGAAGAACCCCACCCCCCAACCUAAUUACAGCUUUCUUUGUGAGUGAGUGAACUGGAGCAUUUGUUAUACUUAAAAACUGCACACUUACAAUGUCUGUGAUUUUAUUUGUGUUACUGUAUACUAUAUUUUUUUUCCUUUUUGAUAUCUUCAUGGUUAUUUUAUUUAUUGAGUCCAUUUGAAAUUGAUAUUGAACAUAUUGACCAUUUGAUUCACCACUGAACACAUGAGAUUUUAUGGAUCAAUCUCAGAGAUAUUUUCAUACA
ensembl:lncRNA